AUUAGGUUUCAUGUUCCUGUCUCUGUGUAGUUUCACCAGAUAGGCUGUAAUAGGUUUCAUGUUCCUGUCUCUGUGUAGUUUCACCAGACAGGCUGUAAUUAGGUUUCAUGUUCCUGUCUCUGUGUAGUUUCACCAGAUAGGCUGUAAUAGGUUUCAUGUUCCUGUCUCUGUGUAGUUUCACCAGAUAGGCUGUAAUAGGUUUCAUGUUCCUGUCUCUGUGUAGUUUCACCAGAUAGGCUGUAAUAGGUUUCAUGUUCCUGUCUCUGUGUAGUUUCACCAGAUAGGCUGUAAUAGGUUUCAUGUUCCUGUCUCUGUGUAGUUUCACCAGAUAGGCUGUAAUAGGUUUCAUGUUCCUGUCUCUGUGUAGUUUCACCAGAUAGGCUGUAAUAGGUUUCAUGUUCCUGUCUCUGUGUAGUUUCACCAGAUAGGCUGUAAUAGGUUUCAUGUUCCUGUCUCUGUGUAGUUUCACCAGAUAGGCUGUAAUAGGUUUCAUGUUCCUGUCUCUGUGUAGUUUCACCAGAUAGGCUGUAAUAGGUUUCAUGUUCCUGUCUCUGUGUAGUUUCACCAGAUAGGCUGUAAUAGGUUUCAUGUUCCUG